rnacentral:rRNA from 1 species
AACGAACGCUGGCGGCAGGCUUAACACAUGCAAGUCGAACGCCCCGCAAGGGGAGUGGCAGACGGGUGAGUAACGCGUGGGAACAUACCCUUUCCUGCGGAAUAGCUCUGGGAAACUGGAAUUAAUACCGCAUACGCCCUACGGGGGAAAGAUUUAUCGGGGAAGGAUUGGCCCGCGUUGGAUUAGCUAGUUGGUGGGGUAAAGGCCUACCAAGGCGACGAUCCAUAGCUGGUCUGAGAGGAUGAUCAGCCACAUUGGGACUGAGACACGGCCCAAACGCCUACGGGAGGCAGCAGUGGGGAAUAUUGGACAAUGGGCGCAAGCCUGAUCCAGCCAUGCCGCGUGAGUGAUGAAGGCCUUAGGGUUGUAAAGCUCUGUCACCGAUGAAGAUAAUGACGGUAGUCGGAGAAGAAGCCCCGGCUAACUUCGUGCCAGCCGCCGCCGUAAAAC